ACUCCUACGGGAGGCAGCAGUGGGGAAUAUUGCACAAUGGGCGCAAGCCUGAUGCAGCCAUGCCGCGUGUAGUGAAGAAGGCCUUCGGGUUGUAAGCACUUUCAGUUGUGAGGAAGGUGGUGUCGUUAAUAGCGGCAUCAUUUUGACGUUUAGCAACAGAAGAAGCACCGGCUAACUCCGUGCCAGCAGCCGCGGUAAUACGGAGGGUGCGAGCGUUAAUCGGAUUACUGGGCGUAAAGCGCAUGCAGGUGGUUUGUUAAGUCAGAUGUGAAAGCCCGGGGCUCAACCUCGGAACUGCAUUUGAAACUGGCAGACUAGAGUACUGUAGAGGGGGUAGAAUUUCAGGUGUAGCGGUGAAAUGCGUAGAGAUCUGAAGGAAUACCGGUGGCGAAGGCGGCCCCCUGGACAGAUACUGACACUCAGAUGCGAAAGCGUGGGGAGCAACAGGAUUAGAUACCCUGGUAGCACAGAG
rnacentral:rRNA from 1 species